rnacentral:rRNA from 1 species
UACGAAGGGGGCUAGCGUUGUUCGGAAUCACUGGGCGUAAAGCGUACGUAGGCGGAUCGUUAAGUCAGGGGUGAAAGCCUGGAGCUCAACUCCAGAACUGCCUUUGAUACUGGUGAGCUUGAGUCCGGAAGAGGUGAGUGGAACUGCGAGUGUAGAGGUGAAAUUCGUAGAUAUUCGCAAGAACACCAGUGGCGAAGGCGGCUCACUGGCCCGGUACUGACGCUGAGGCACGAAAGCGUGGGGAGCAAACAGG